rnacentral:lncRNA from 1 species
GGGAGAGACGCUGUUGGUCCUGAUAAAGUGUUUUUCUUGGGGGAGGGUUUUUACUAUGUGUUUGCUCCCGCGAUUUCCCCGAAUGAGAAAACUCGGCUGCAUAACUUGUGGUAGUGGGGGACUGCUUUUGCGCUUUUCUGUCCUGUGAUUGAACUAGUUUAAAAGACGGCUUGUGUGUUGUUGCGUGUGUUUAUUUUCAGAGUUGUUGUAGUGGCGCGCGUUUGGUUUUGGAGUUGUGGUUAUGACCUUACGUCUUCUUAGGUUACGGUCUGUUUUAAUUAGAUGCUCGCUAAGUAUUUUAUACCGUUUCUAGGAAGGGUGGAAAAAUAAGCCAGACUGAUGUGGUACGCACCUGUGCUAGCUACUCGGGAGACUGAGGUGGGAAAAUCAUUUGAUCCCAGAUGGAGACUUAAUGAGCCAAUAUUGUGCCACUGCACUCCUGUCUGAGCGAUAGAGAC